GAUGAACGCUGGCGGCGUGCCUAAUACAUGCAAGUAGAACGCUGAAGGAGGAGCUUGCUCUUCUGGAUGAGUUGCGAACGGGUGAGUAACGCGUAGGUAACCUGCCUGGUAGCGGGGGAUAACUAUUGGAAACGAUAGCUAAUACCGCGUGACAACAGUUAUUGCAUGAUAACUGUUUAAAAGGGGCAACUGCUCCACUACCAGAUGGACCUGCGUUGUAUUAGCUAGUUGGUGAGGUAACGGCUCACCAAGGCGACGAUACAUAGCCGACCUGAGAGGGUGAUCGGCCACACUGGGACUGAGACACGGCCCAGACUCCUACGGGAGGAAGCAGUAGGGAAUCUUCGGCAAUGGACGGAAGUCUGACCGAGCAACGCCGCGUGAGUGAAGAAGGUUUUCGGAUCGUAAAGCUCUGUUGUAAGAGAAGAACGAGGGUGAGAGUGGAAAGUUCACACUGUGACGGUAUCUUACCAGAAAGAGACGGCUAACUACGUG
rnacentral:rRNA from 1 species